AAGUCGUAACAAGGUUUCCGUAGGUGAACCUGCGGAAGGAUCAUUACCGAGUUCAUGCCCUUCGGGGUAGAUCUCCCACCCUGUUUAUCUUACCUUAUGUUGCUUUGGCGGGCCGACCGUCUAGGCCACCGGCGACUCGCUGGUGUGUGCCCGCCAGAGGCCCCAAAACACUGUUAUUAACCGUGCCGUCCGAGUACUAUAUAAUAGUUUAAAACUUUCAACAACGGAUCUCUUGGUUCUGGCAUCGAUGAAGAACGCAGCGAAAUGCGAUAAGUAAUGUGAAUUGCAGAAUUCAGUGAAUCAUCGAAUCUUUGAACGCACAUUGCGCCCCUUGGUAUUCCGAGGGGCAUGCCUGUCCGAGCGUCAUGAGACCAAUCAAGCUCUGCUUGGCAUUAGGCCGUGCCAGCGAUGGCAGGCCCCAAAUCCAGUGGCGGUGCCGCGGGCUCUGAACGUAGUAACAUCUCCCGUUACGGACGUCCGCGGNAGGCGACCAGGAACCUCGACUCUUCGGGUGGACCUCGGAUCAGGUAGGGAUACCCGCUGAACUUAAGCAUAUCAAUAAGCGGAGGACAAGAAACCAACAGGGAUUGCCUCAGUAACGGCGAGUGAAGCGGCAACAGCUCAAAUUUGAAAUCUGGCCCCCUCAGGGUCCGAGUUGUAACUUGGAGAAGAUGCUUCGGGCGUNGCGCCGGUCUAAGUUCCUUGGAACAGGACGUCACAGAGGGUGAGAAUCCCGUACGCGACUGUGCGCCUACGUCCGUGUGAAGCUCUUUCGACGAGUCGAGUUGUUUGGGAAUGCAGCUCAAAAUGGGUGGUAAAUUUCAUCUAAAGCUAAAUAUGGGCCAGAGACCGAUAGCGCACAAGUAGAGUGAUCGAAAGAUGAAAAGCACUUUGGAAAGAGAGUUAAACAGCACGUGAAAUUGUUGAAAGGGAAGCGCUCGCAACCAGACUUGCGCGCGGCCGAUCAUCCGGGGUUCUCCCCGGUGCACUCGGUCGUGCUCAGGCCAGCAUCGGUUCGGGUGGUCGGACAAAGGCCGUGGGAAUGUAGCUCCUCUCGGGGAGUGUUAUAGCCCGCGGCGCCAUGCGACCCACCGGGACCGAGGACCGCGCUUCGGCUAGGAUGCUGGCGUAAUGGUUGUGAGCGACC
rnacentral:rRNA from 1 species